UUAGUCGUUUCAUGUUCAAUGCAUCAAGUCAGUGUGGUUUUGCGUGUGUUUCUUCUCGCAGCCAUUGUUAGUUGAUUUCUGUUCGUUUUUCAGAGUGAACUGAUCAUUGAUUUUGAUAAAGUUAAUCUCGAUAAGAGACAAAAAAGAUGGGAGAUUCUGAAGAAGAAAAUGAGAAAGAUUUGGCAUCUGGCCUUAACAUUACCGGCUUCCUCUUCGGUAAUAUCGAUGAUAAUGGUCAGCUGGAGGAUGAUAUUUUGGAUCCUGAAGCCAAACAACAAUUGGCUUCACUUAGUCGCCUUGGAUUAAGUUCUUUCAUUAGCGAAAUGAUACAAAAUGAAUCAGCCACUGAGGACAAAAAAGAUAAUGGAACUGAAUAUGAAAACGAGAAUCAAAUCAAAGUUGGAAAUGAUAAGGAUAUGGAUUGUGUUGUAAAGUUACCUACUGCUGAAGAUUUUUCUGAUAUAAACGAGUUGGCAGAUGAUAUAAAUGAUGAAGCUCUUAAGAAUAUUGAUUUUGACAAAAAAGAUAAAGAAAAUGCUGAUUAUGAUGCUGACGAUGAAGAAGUUGUCAGUAAAUUAGAUAAACAAUUGAUGCCUCCUCCACCUGUACCUGAAGAAAAGGAAAUUUUAACUGAGGAAGAGGCAGAAGCAGUACGUCAACGUAAACUGGAGACACCCCUUGCAGCUAUGUUGCCUUCUAAAUAUGCUAAUACUGAUGUUACUGAAUUAUUUCCGGAUUUCCGUACCAACAAAGUUCUCAGAUUCUCUAGAUUGUUCGGUCCAGGAAAACCAAGUAGCCUGCCACAGAUUUGGAGAGGUGUAAGAAAACGACGUAAGAAGAGAAAACAUCAUGAUAUCAGAGACUCUGAUUCUGGUUCUGAUCAGGAGGACAGGAGGACUAAAUUUAAAGGUUGGAUUAUGAAUUAUGGUCCUGAACCAAGUAUAGAUAUGUGCCGUUCAGAUGAUGAGGCCAAGCUGCUUUUACCUGUGGAAGACAAGGAGCAAACUGGUAAGACAGGUGAUACUGGAGAAAAUGGCGAUAUGGGUCCUAAAGUAGCUGACUGGAGAUUUGGGCCUGCACAACUUUGGUAUGAUAUGCUGGAAGUUCCAGAGACUGGAGAUGGUUUCAACUAUGGCUUUAAGUUGGUUGAAAAAGAGCAAUCAGAAGAGCAAGAAAAUGACAAAUCUAAAAACAAGUUUAAGAAUGAGGAAAAUAUUAAAGACGAGGAAUUCGCAGACGAUGCAUUUUUAAUGGUAUCACAGUUGCAUUGGGAAGAUGAUGUUGUCUGGAACGGAGACGAUAUAAAGCAUAAAGUAAUGCAAAAGUUGAAUAGCAAAAACAAUGCGGCUGGUUGGGUACCUUCAAGUGGCAAUAGAACUGCACAAGCUUUCAGCCAACCAGGAAAAGGUGCUCCUGUCACUGUGGUACCCAACGUCAGGCUAGCCACUUCACAAAUCACAACGCCACUUCAUAUGCAGUCACAAAAGAAUAAAAUGAAUAUGGGCAAAGGUAGUCAACAGCAACAGCGUGAGGAGAAUUACGACGACACCUGGUACUCUAUAUUUCCAGUGGAGAACGAGGAACUUGUGUACGGCUUAUGGGAGGAAGAAGUAAUAUGGGAUCCAGAGAACAUGAAGAAGUUCCCCAAGCCGAAGAUACUCACAUUGGACCCUAACGACGAAAAUAUCGUAUUGGGCAUACCAGACGACAUAGACCCGGCUCUUCUUCAUAAGGAUAACGGGCCACAGCCCAAAGUGAAGAUUCCGCAUCCACACGUCAAGAAAAGCAAGCUAUUGUUGGGCAAAGCGGGUGUCAUUAACGUUCUAGAGGAGGAUACACCUCCUCCACCGCCUAAGUCGCCCGAUAGGGAUCCGUUUAACAUAUCAAAUGAUACAUACUACAUGCCCAGAUCAUCGGAAACUACGUUAAGACUAAAAGUCGGCGGCGGCAAUUUAAUACAGCACAGCACUCCAGUGGUGGAGUUACGUGUUCCUUUCGUACAAACACACAUGGGUCCAAUGCGAUUGAGGAACUUCCACAGACCGCCAUUACGAAGGUUCAGCCAUGGUCCAUUGGCUCAUCCAGGACCACAUUCUGUUUUGCCUUUAUUGAAAAACAUUAAAAAGAAAGCUAAGCAACGAGAACAAGAAAGAAUUUCUUCCGGCGGAGGCGACGUAUUUUUCAUGAGAACACCCGAGGAUUUGACGGGUCGGGAUGGCGAGUUGGUGCUUAUCGAGUUCUCCGAAGAGCAUCCUCCGCUCAUGAAUCAGGUCGGCAUGUGUUCGAAAGUGAAGAACUAUUACAAGAGACGAGCCGGCAAAGAUCAAGGUCCGCAGACGUACAAAUACGGGGAAACAGCCUACGCUCACACUAGCCCUUUCCUUGGCAUACUCACUCCUGGCCAAAGUAUACAAGCGGUUGAGAAUAAUAUGUACAGAGCGCCCAUCUACGAGCACAAAAUCCCCGAAACCGAUUUCUUGGUUAUAAGAACGAGGCAACAAUAUUAUAUCAGAGAGGUGGAUGCAUUAUUUGUCGCCGGACAAGAAUGUCCCUUGUAUGAAGUUCCAGGACCCAACUCAAAAAGAGCGAACAACUUCGUCCGCGACUUCCUACAAGUGUUCAUUUACAGACUAUUUUGGAAAUCACGCGACACUCCUCGACGGAUUAAGAUGGACGACAUAAAGAAAGCCUUUCCAUCCCACAGCGAGAGUAGCAUUAGGAAAAGGUUAAAACUAUGCGCAGACUUUAAAAGAACUGGAAUGGAUUCUAACUGGUGGGUGAUAAAACCAGACUUUAGAUUACCAACGGAAGAAGAGAUACGCGCUAUGGUGUCGCCGGAGCAGUGUUGUGCUUAUUUUAGCAUGAUCGCGGCAGAACAACGGUUGAAAGACGCUGGAUAUGGCGAGAAGUUUCUUUUCACGCCGCAGGACGACGACGAUGAAGAGAUGCAGCUCAAAAUGGACGAUGAAGUAAAAGUAGCACCGUGGAAUACGACGCGUGCCUACAUUCAGGCCAUGAAAGGAAAGUGCCUGCUUCAACUGGCAGGUCCAGCUGAUCCAACUGGUUGCGGUGAAGGCUUCUCUUACGUCAGAGUGCCGAAUAAGCCCACUAUCAGCAAGGAGGAACAAGAAGCUCAACCGAAGAGAACCGUAACUGGUACAGACGCGGACUUGAGAAGACUGUCUUUGAACAACGCGAAAGCGUUGCUGCGUAAAUUUGGUGUACCUGAAGACGAGAUUAAGAAGCUAUCGCGUUGGGAGGUAAUCGAUGUGGUGCGAACUUUGUCGACGGAGAAAGCAAAGGCUGGUGAAGAAGGCAUGACCAAGUUCUCGCGUGGUAAUCGUUUUUCUAUCGCCGAACAUCAGGAACGGUACAAGGAAGAAUGUCAGCGUAUAUUUGACCUGCAGAAUCGUGUGUUAUCAUCGAACGAAGUUCUAAGUACAGACGAAGGUGAGAGCUCCGAGGAAGAUAGCUCGGACAUCGAAGAGAUGGGCAAAAAUAUCGAAAAUAUGUUAUCGAACAAAAAGACCAGCACGCAGCUGUCGUUGGAGAGAGAAGAACAGCAACGGCAUGAGCUGCGUAAGAUGUUAAUGGGCGAAGCACAAGAACAGGAGAAAAAAGGUAAAGAGAGCAAGAAGAAAGACGACGAGGAAGACAGUCCGGUUAACAAUUUCAACGCGCAACAAGGCCGCGUACUAAAAAUCUACCGCACUUUCCGCAAUCCGGAGGGCAAAGAAUUCACGCGAGUCGAGCUAGUAAGAAAGCCCGCUGUGAUUGACACGUACAUCAAGAUCCGUAACUCGAAGGACGAGACGUUCAUCAAGCAAUUCGCCACGUUGGACGAUGCUCAAAAGGAGGAGAUGAAACGAGAGAAGCGCCGUAUACAGGAACAAUUGCGUCGGAUUAAGCGAAAUCAAGAGAGAGAACGUAUGUUGGGUGGACCGAUUGUGAUGAGCGGCAGUGGUGUUAGCGGCGGUGGUGCUGCCAGUGGCAGCAGUUCGAGCAGUGCCUUCGACCGCAACAGUUCCAAUAUUCCGUCCAUUCCCACAUCUACGACCAGUAUCCUUCCGUUCUGUAAUUUCCAAUCUUCCAACUCCACAUCCUCUAAACAUCCUAAACAGGAGGUAUCCCCUCCCAAACGUAAAAAACCUAAACUCAAACCAGAUCUUAAGCUUAAAUGUGGCGCCUGCGGCAACGUCGGCCACAUGCGUACGAAUAAAGCUUGUCCUCUUUAUCAGAACAGCAUUACCAAUACUGCACCGGUGAAUGUUGCCAUGACCGAGGAACAGGAAGAGGAAAUCGAGAAGCAGUUGAACACCGAUGAUCAGGAUCUGGUUAAUGUCGAUGGUACCAAGGUGAAAUUAUCAUCGAAGCUGAUUAAGCACGCUGAAGAAAUGAAGAGACGUACGUUGCUGCUCAAAGUACCCAAGGAGGCAGUGAAUUCGAAGAAACGUAGAAAACCGCCUACCGACGAUCAUUGUGAUUAUUUGAAACGCCAUCAGAGGCCGGUUAAUAGACGCAGAACGGACCCUGUGGUCGUAAUGUCGACGAUACUGGAAAGUAUCGUAAACGAAAUGAGGGACAUGCCGGACGUGCAGCCAUUCCUGUUUCCUGUGAAUGCUAAGGCCGUACCCGAUUACUACAAGAUCAUACAAAGACCUAUGGACCUGCAGACUAUACGAGAGAAUUUACGGAUGAAGAAAUAUCAAAGUAGAGAAGAUUUCCUAGCGGACGUUAAUCAAAUUGUGGAGAAUUCGAAACUUUACAACGGAACAAAGAGUUCAUUGACUGUAGCAGCUACGAGAAUGUUAGAGAUGUGCGGCGCGAGACUCUUCGAGAGGGAUGACCGUCUAAUGAGAUUAGAGAAGGCUAUUAAUCCUCUUUUAGACGACAACGAUCAAGUUGCCUUUACUUUCAUCUUGGACACUGUAGUCAACAACAAACUGAAAUCCAUGUCGGAAAUAUGGCCGUUCGCGAAACCCGUCAAUAAAAAGAUGGUGAAAGAUUAUUAUAAUAUAGUCAAGAGACCGAUGGACUUAGAAACAAUAUCUAAAAAAGUUUCUGCACAUAAAUAUCACAACCGUCAUGAUUUUCUCAAAGAUAUCGAGCAGAUCUUGGAGAAUUGCAUACUUUACAACGGAAAAGAUUCUUCGUUCACGAAUAAAGCGGAAUUGUUGGUUAAAGUGUGCAAAGAAACACUAGAAGAGUACGAUGAACAUUUAACGCAUCUGGAAAAUAAUAUACUACUUGUGCAAAAGCGAGCAAUGGAGCAAGCAGAUAUAGAUCCUUCGUGGCUUGGCCCAGACGAUGAAGUUGUAGGAGAAUCCAGAGACAGUCUGACCAGUUCAAAUCUAUUCGACAAAUCGCACAUGGACGAAUUCGAUUUCGUAGACGUAGAUGGUGACAUGGAGACGGAAGUUGAUAGAAUUUCGAAGAAGAAAGACAUGCUUGAGGAAGAUUUACAAUUCUCCAGUGAGGAUGAGUUCGAUGAGGUACCGUUCGGCGCAGAGGAACAUUCCGAACAUACCGAAAUGGAGACACUGGAGUUAAGCGAGGUCAGGGAAGAAGGAGUUGUGCUAGCAGACGACGAUAGUCAACAAGCUGCCGAAGCAAUGGUUCAAUUAGGUAAUGUUGGUUUUUACGUGGGCGAACAACAAUUACUUCAGCAAGAUGAAAGUAUGGAUGUUGAUCCCAAUUACGACCCGUCGGACUUUCUGUUGGCCGGUUUGCCAGCUAGAGAAGAUAAGAGCGAGAAUAAGAUUCAAGACGAUCUGGCUGUUUCCGAGAGCGAUGACGACGCUGAGAGCAGUAACAAUUUACAAUCUAAGCAAGAAACUCAGCAGAACCAACAGCAGCAACAAUUAUCACAACCAGAUGAAGAUGUUGCCGGCGAUUUGUGGUUUUAAGCACAUUUAAUUGUGUUAUUAAAGCAACAUAGAGACAUUCACUCUUAACAUCAAGUACGUGAUUAAAGGAAGCACAGGUCAAUAAGCUCAGCGGCAAUUUUGCACAACCACGUAGUGUGCAUGCAUAUGUUAUUGCAAUAUGUUUAUACGUAAAAUAAUUACAUUUACUAUAAACGACAUAUCGCAUACCGUACACAUAUGCUUACAAAUGGGUUAUUUAACGCGUUAGUACGUUAAAGUUAAUCGUUGAGUUAAAAUAAUGUUAUUUAUGAAGGUGAUAGAACAGCUGAUAGAAUCAAACAUGAAUAUUUUAACGCAAUGAAGGUUACAAUUUCAUGUCUCUACUGUGAUCUAACAUUAAAGAAAAAAAAUUGAAAGUUAAUAACCUGCAGAAAGACA
rnacentral:misc_RNA from 1 species